UACAGGGGGUGCAAACGUUGCUCGGAAUUAUUGGGCGUAAAGCGCGCGUAGGCGGCUACCUAAGUCGGAUGUGAAAGCCCCUGGCUUAACUGGGGAAGUGCACCCGAAACUGGGUAGCUAGAGUGCAAAAGAGGGUCGCGGAAUUCCCAGUGUAGAGGUGAAAUUCGUAGAUAUCAGGAGGAACACCAAUAGCGAAGGCAGCUCGCUGGGACGGUACUGACGCUAAGGUGCGAAAGCGUGGGGAGCGAACAGG
rnacentral:rRNA from 1 species